GGUAGGGUGGCCGAAUGAGGUUGCGGGUUGUAGCCCCGAACAUGGAGGUUUAAGUCCUCUUCCUAUCA
rnacentral:tRNA from 1 species